rnacentral:rRNA from 1 species
AUUGAACGCUGGCGGCAUGCCUUACACAUGCAAGUCGAACGGCAGCACGGGAGCAAUCCUGGUGGCGAGUGGCGAACGGGUGAGUAAUAUAUCGGAACGUGCCCAGUCGUGGGGAUAACGUAGCGAAAGCUACGCUAAUACCGCAUACGAUCUACGGAUGAAAGCGGGGGAUCGCAAGACCUCGCGCGAUUGGAGCGGCCGAUAUCAGAUUAGGUAGUUGGUGGGGUAAAGGCUCACCAAGCCAACGAUCUGUAGCUGGUCUGAGAGGACGACCAGCCACACUGGAACUGAGACACGGUCCAGACUCCUACGGGAGGCAGCAGUGGGGAAUUUUGGACAAUGGGCGCAAGCCUGAUCCAGCAAUGCGCGUGCAGGAUGAA